GUGGUCGUCAGGACACCGGGCCACAGACACCGCGUAGCGACCACCAACUGAAAAACGUUUUUGACGGUUGGGUGAGACUUCGCUGAGCUCGGCUCGGAAACGCGUAGGCUGUACAUAAGAGUUAAAGUUGAUGAAAGCUUGCUCAAGACGGCCUGUUGUUCAUUACAAUUUCUUCUUCAAGUGAAGUCGGAUCUUCGGUUCUAGGGAGCUCCUGUUCAGCAUGCUCGAUGGGGAAAAUCUUUCGUGGGGGUUUUCUUCGUAGGAAAACCCCCACAGUAACCACUUGUUCACUAAAAAAUACCGCGGUGAAAAAAAUUAAAAACACUUAAAAGAGUUCAAAAACGCGGCAGUGGGGCAGCGGUGGCCGUGCUCGAAUCCUGAAGCGGGGAAGGAGGAGAACUAUCGUUAGUGGUCAGGAUUGAGAACGAAGAAGCCCUACCAAUUUAAAAAGUACAGCUUAAGAGUCCGUCAGAUCCGUUAGCUGCGUUUGUGAAGGCAGCUACAUUAGGAAAGGAUCCAGCAUCGCAUGCUAAAUUUAAGGCGUAAUUUCCGGGGUUGUUAUCGUAAGACUGGGUGGCGUCAUUGAAGUGGCGACUGUGACGGCGACCAUGUCGACGGGAAAGAAGCGAUAGAGCAAAGAAGACAGCAGAUAAGCGUGCUGUCUUUACGUACAUGUCUUAUCUACAUGCUGCAGCCGGGCCCCAGUCCCCAAGUCGCCGCCUCUCUACACAGGUCGCACAUCAGUUCGACACGUCCGUUAAAAAUGCUCGUUACGUAGGUUGUUUUUUUGACGGAUAAGUUGGUUGGACGUGUCGGUUCUCAAACUCUUACGAGGAAAUCUGUUCUGUGUAGUACCUUACCGUGACUCCCGCGACACCGAACCGUACAAGUUACAAGUUCCGCACACAAGUGCGGUUGUGUCCGUAAAAGCCGGGGGGGACAUGGCUCGAGGGGGACGCAGCCAUACCAGGGGCCGCUAUUCAGGAGAUCGAAUUGGAAAAUAUGCGCAGGAAGAUUAAGGACGCCCUGUCCAACCCACGCGGCUUGUGGACAUGGCUGCGUGGGGGAAAAGCGCAUCCUUGCGGGAUCUCAGAUGCUAGUGCUUUUACCGAGCAUUUUUUCAAAGUGCUUAAUGGUGCGGGAGACGCGAGGCAAGGUCGCAACGAGGGUAUACAUCGCAAAUGGCAGGACGAGGACCGGGUGAUGCUACGAUGGGAAUUAGCUGCUUGGCUCAACUUGUUAAGAGUUUAACGGAGGCCUCAAGGCUAUGCGCAACAUUAAGUCCGCAGGUCUGGAGGGAACCCUGGCCGAGUAUUAUAAGUACGCUAUCAGGGAGAGUGAAGGGCAGCGGCCCGUGUUUGUGUUGGCCCGUGUGUGCUAUACAACCGCAUAUACGGAGCUAAGUACCCCAGCGGGUUUACUACUAGCAACCUUUCCCCUGUAUUCAAGAAAGGGGACGCGUCCUGCUGUGAUAAUUAUCGAGACAUUGCGGUUGGAGGUCCCCUGUGCAAACUUUACGCCAAUACCAUGGGGAGGCGACCCACCAAUACUGCGAGAGCAACAGGCUACGUGCCGCUAGCCAGGCUGGGUGUAGGCUUGGUUUUGGUACCGAGCAUCACUUGUUUACAUUAAGGCAUCUUAUCUCAAAGCACACUGUGGCCGGAUCCAGGCCGAUUAUUAUCAUGCAAAUUGACGUAAGGCGUUCAACUCCGUCGACCAUGAGACACUUUGGGGCUUCCUCAUGUUGUAUGGGCUACAUGGGCGCAUCCUCGAUUCCGUGAAGGCUAGCUACGCUGACGUAAAGGUUCGGGUCAAGUUGGGGAAUAGGUUGGGGCCUGAAUUCACGGUGGGGCGUGGCGUGAAGCCAGUGUGCCCCCUUAGUGUAAUCCUUUUUUGACUCCUCGUAGAAUUUUUCGCACAUUACAUUGAUGCUCACGAUGCUAAUUGCCGUGUACGCCUUCCCAGCCGAUGGAGCACCCGCCGUGAGCAGUCUUUGGAGCUGCCGUACUCCGGCUCCGGGGACAUGCAGCACGUUGGCGUGGCUGAGGGACAGUUGUCGCAGCCCGGCUGGGAGAUGAUCCGCCCGCAGCAGCAGCUUCCCCAGCCACAAUGCGGCGGCGCUGGCGGCGCCGGCGGCGCCGGCGGCACCGCUGCCGCUGUUGGUCCCUGUGCCGGUCGACGGGUGAUCGUGAAGUCCCAGCUCCCUGACGUCAAAUACAUGUGGCGGCGCUAAAGUUGGAUUGUCGCAGGAAGGAAGGGUGAAUGGUGCGAUGGACGACCCAUGGGUCCGUUAGGUUGUGUGUGCCUGGGUGUGUCCGGAUGUCCUUGACAUGCAGAAGUCCACAGAAGCUCUGUGUAAUGACGGAAGGCCCAUCUGAGUAUCCCCUGUUACGCCUUUGCCGUGAUACAAUGGUGUCGAGACGGGGCUGCACGACUUCCGCUGUAAUCUGCGGGUGGGCCGUUCUAUUUUAACUAUCAGCAAGUAACGCCAACGGCUUACGACGGUGUAUUGGAUAAUCCAACGCUAGAAGAGCGUGAGGUGGGAGGGCUCCUUUGCUCGUGAAUUGGCCGAGGACGUCCUUUGCUAAGCGGGGGGCAAUGUGACGACGCAAGGCCCAUUUGAGCUGUUGGGCCAAUUACUAGCCAGGCUGGGUGUAGGCUUGGUUUUGGUACUGAGCAUCACUUGUUUACAUUAAGGCAUCUUAUCUCAAAGCACACUGUGGCCGGAGCCAGGCCGAUUAUUAUCAUGUAAAUUGACUUUAGUAAGGCGUUCGACUCCGUUGACCAUGAGACACUUGGGGCUUCCUCAUGUCGUACGGGCGACACGGGCGCAUCCUCGAUUCUCUGAAGGCUAGCUACGCUGACGUGAAGGUUCGGGUCAAGUUGUUGAAUAGGUUGGGGCCUGAAUUCACGGUGGGGCGUGGCGUGAAGCCAGUGUGCCCCCUUAGUGUAACCCUUUUUUGACUCCUUCGUAGAAUUUUUCGCACAUUACAUUGAUGCUCACGAUGCUGACUGCCGUGUACGCCUUCCUAGCCGAUGGAGCACCCGCCGUGAGCAGUCUUUGGAGCUGCCGUACUCCGGCUCCGGGGACAUGCAGCACGUUGGCGUGGCUGAGGGACAGUCGUCGCAGCCUGGCUGGGAGAUGAUCCGGCCGCAGCAGCAGCUUCCCCAGCCAGAAUGCGGCGGCGCUGGCGGCGCCGGCGGCACCGCUGCCACUGUUGGUCCCUGUGCCGGUCGACGGGUGAUCGUGAAGUCCCAGCUCCUGACAUGUGAUUACAUGUGGCGGCGCUAAAGUUGGAUUGUCGCAGGAAUGAAGGGUGAAUAGUGCGAUGGACGACCCAUGGGUCCGUUAGGUUGUGUGUGCCGGGGAUUGUACGGAUGUCCUUGACAUGCAGAAGUCCACAGAAGCUCUGUGUAAUGACGGAAGGCCCAUCUGAGUAUCCCCUGUUACGCUUUUGCCGGGAUACAAUGGUAUCGAGACGGGGCUGCACGACUUCCGCUGUAAUCUGCGGGUGGGCCGUUCUAUUUUAACUAUCAGAAAGCAACGCCAACGGCUUACGACGUUGUAUUGGAAAAUCCAACGCUAGAAGAGCGUGAGGUGGGAUGGCUCCUUUGCUCGUGAAUUGGCCGAGGACUACCACUGCUUUGGGGGCCAAUGUAACGACGCAAGGCCCAUUUAAGCAUAUGCCCUUUUGAACUGUUGGCCGUUGUGCCCGUUGGAUCGGAAGUGGCCUUUACUUUCGUGUUUGUCGUGUCGGGACUCUGUUUGUCGUGUCGGGUCUCUUGUCCGAUUUCUCUGUUGUCGGUGACCUGGGCGCGUGGAGCGGUCGUUGUUUCAGAGCCGGUGUUUCAGUUCAAGCCCCUAGCUGGCCGUUUGGUCACCCCUUAGAGGGCACAUGUUUUAGGAUUACCUUCAGUGGGCGUCCAUCAGCGUCUGUUGCGUGAUCUGUCGCGUCUGUGGCCGGUGGGUCAGUCUAUGCGCGGUUGGGGACCGCUGGUUUGACCUAGUUCUUGUGGAGUGUGUUUGGCGCUUUCCGUUCGGUUUGUUCGCUCUUCAGCCUGCGUAGAGGUGGCGCGUCCGCAACCCUUGCUGCUGGGUUGCCGCUUGGGGGUCGUUGAGGCUUUUGGCUCCGGGAGCUCUAUUUCGUUUUGGUGUGUGCGCCUGUCUGGCAGCUCUCGCGUCCUUUGGCCCGCUUGCGGGUCGGCGCGUUGCGCCGUUUGGUGGUUGAAUACUUCAACCGCUAGAGGGGGUAUCUUCUCCUUUGGGAUUUGUCUCUGAAGCAACAUGCUGGGUUCGUUGGGCGUAAGGCCCAGUGCGUAACAGUGACUUUCGCAGCGGCCCGUGUCCUCAGGGCCGUCAUUUAUUGCGCGCAUUACGCUGGUAAGCUUAUCUUGUUUUUGUUGUUCAGUGCGCGCCCCCCCGCCCGCCCAGCCGUUCACGGCGCAGCCCACGUUAGUUCAGUUGCGGUGGUUCGAAAGGCCUGUCUCCUUCGGGCCUCUCAGUCCUUUUCUCUCUUCCAUUAUAUGUAACAGAAAAUGGCAUUUGCUCCUGAAGCAACAACUAACGGUUUGUAAAAAAUGCAAGCUUGGCCAGCACAGCUUCUUCUCGUCUGUUAUCACAAUCGUUGUUGCUAGCUUAUGUAAAGUAGAAAUUGUCGAUGAUGUUGAAUUGCAUCAUAAGACGCUGGCGGAAAAAUCCGUUGUCCCGCUCCAAGAGGCUCCAGGAGGCUCCAGGAGGCAAAAACGAAUUGGAAACCUAAACAUCGUAGUCUUCACCAGCGCCGUGCCAUGAAAGCGUUAUAGUAUAGCGUGUGGCUAGUCUGGCGUGCGACAUGGACCCCAUAGCGGCUGUUGAAGCGGAAAUCGUCAAAGUUGCGGAUGAAAUACAAGCCGUUGGUGCAGCGAUAGCGGCUUGUACAGAUAAGGAUACAUUAGACUUCCUAUGGAAGAAAAAGUUGCUCCUGCGUAAGGAGAAGGAGCAGCUGCGUAAGGAGAAAGAACAGUUACGCGAGGAAAAGCUAAUUUUGCUUCGCAAAGGUGAGUUGUAUCAGCACAGUCACGGCACAGACGUGUACCUAGUGUACCUGCGCUGACCGUCUGCAGCAUAAACGGAAGGGUUGGCCUUGCGCUUCUUCGGGUUUACACCGCUUGGCGACUAAUCCAGUCACAUUCACAUGUUGUCGGUUGUCGCUUGGCAUGCGGUCUUGUGAACACAGAAAGAGCUCACGGACGCCUAUUCCCGUGGGUUUACCCAGCCAAGCCAACUAGGGCUUACCGGUUCCUUCCCUCGACACAGAUACGGAUGCGACGCGCGCUGACAAACCCAAGUCCUUCUCAUCAGUGGCCUUGACGGAGGCU
rnacentral:lncRNA from 1 species